rnacentral:rRNA from 1 species
AUUGAACGCUGGCGGCAGGCCUAACACAUGCAAGUCGAGCGAGCGGCGGACGGGUGAGUAAUGUCUGGGAAACUGCCUGAUGGAGGGGGAUAACUACUGGAAACGGUAGCUAAUACCGCAUACCAUCAGAUGUGCCCAGAUGGGAUUAGCUAGUAGGUGGGGUACCGGCUCACCUAGGCGACGAUCCCUAGCUUGUCUUAGAGGAUGACCAGCCACACUGGAACUGAGACACGGUCCAGACGCCUACGGGAGGCAGCAGUGGGGAAUAUUGCACAAGGGGCGCAAGCCUGAUGCAGCCAGGCCGCGUGUGGGAAGAAGGCCUUCGGGUUGUAAAGCACUUGCAGCGGGGAGGCGGAACCCGCAGAAGAAGCACCGGCUAACUCCGUGCCAGCAGCCGCGGUAAUAC